AGCCGGCACUGAAUUUGCGUAGUGGCUUUUCGGUAAUUCCAGACUUUAAAGUUUGAAGACGUUUCCAACGAAGCAGCGAAGGUCUUCCUCCUCUUCACCUUUCUCCCUUCCUCCUCCUCCUUCCUACAAUGAUAGAGAGGCCAUGCAGGCUCCGCCCUUCUACGGAUCCAACGCAGGAAGCCAAGCCGUGGCUCUCCGAGGGCCGUCAUCGACAACACCGCCUCCCAUCGCCGCCUCCGCCUGCUGAGGCAGCCGAGGGCGGCAAUGUCGACCGAGUCCUUUUUAAGAACCUCGUUGAGAUGGUCCCCCUGGUUGAAUCGCUAAUGGAUAGGAGGGCGCGCUCGUCCUUCACGCGGAGGGCUUCUGUGAUCUACACACCCGCGCCGUCCCACCCGAAGAAGGCGACUGAGGCAAAAGGUGGAAGAGCUAAUUCAACUGUUUCAGCAAAGAAACAAAGGGAUUUCGAAGACAAUGCACAAAGAAACAAACAAAAAGAUUCUUCUAAUGGAUUUACUGUGGAAACUGAGAAACUCCAGAAAGAUCAGGAAGAGUUAAAUAUAUUAAAGGAACAGAUUAAUGACCUACAAAGGAAAAUACUAGAGAAAGAUGAAGCUCUGGAAUCAGCUGAUAGUGAAAUCAACCAAUUGAGAGUAACUUAUAUAUCUAUUGAUGAAUUGAGGGCUCAGAUUGCAGAGAAAGAUUCUAUGGUUAAAUCUAAUAACUCGCUGUUAAACAAUGCCAAGAUCAGUUUGGCAGACAAGCAAGCAACUCUGGAGAGAUUGACUUGGGAAGCUCAAAUGUCUAAAAAGAAAAUUGAGGAACUUCAAGGAGAGAGAGCUUCUAUGGACUAUGAGAUUACCACACUGAUGAAAAUUUUUGAGCAGUUAUCUGCAAAUCAUUCAUCCAUGAAUCCUGAUGAAAGUUUAUGUUCGUACAGAUUGGAACCUCUUCCAGUUAUAGCAAAGGCAUUACAACAAUGGAUCACAUGGGUGGUCUUCACGGCCAGAGACCCGAUUUGAAGCCUCUCCCCCACUUCUUUGAGUUAUGCCUCUUCGCUUCCUCUACUGCCUUGCCUUUUCCUCUGUUGCAUCAUAUGCCUUUUUCUCCUCUUCCUCCACCUCUUCCUCCUCUUGGUCCCCCUCUGCCACCAACUCUAUAUUCCCUCCUUUGCCUACAACACAACUCUUGGCUUUGGUUCAACCAGUCUAGCUUUUUAUCCCCCUAAUCUUGACCGUUGCAUUGUUGUCUGCUAGUUCACAUGCCGUGAUCCAUCUGAUCUACGACUUCGGCCCAAUCCAUGCGAGUUGUCCCUUUCAUUGCAUUGUUGGCUGUUGCUGUCUGCCCUUCUAAAGUCCCCAUGACUCUUUUCGCCCGUUGAGAUAAAAGUAAUUGCUUUAGGCCCCACUCAAUUCACCCACCCACACCAACUAGCAACUACCCUUUCUCCAAACAAAAGAUGUAAGUAAUUAUCUUGAUGCAUAUAGUAAUAUUGUCAGUGUUUUAUUAUCUGAAUGGUGCUUUGUUGGUCUCGUGUUGGUUCUCCUGGAGUUGCUUUGCACGGGUGAUGGAGCAAGUGACAGCAAAAAGAAUGACUCCGAUGAUAGUACAUCGGAGAAAGUCGAAGAGGCGAGAGCAGCCUACAGUGCGGCUGUUGCUGCUG